GGACUACCGGGGUAUCUAAUCCCGUUCGCUCCCCUGGCUUUCGCGUCUCAGCGUCAGUAAGCGUCCAGGACCUCGCUUUCGCCACGGGCGUUCCUUCCGAUCUCAACGCAUUUCACCGCUCCACCGGAAGUUCCAGGUCCCCCUACGCCCCUCCAGAAGAGUCGUAUCCGCGCCACUUCCCCGGUUGAGCCGGGGGAUUUCAGCUGCGGACGUGCCCUUCCGCCUACACGCGCUUUAAGCCCAGUGAUUCCGAAUAACGUUCGCACGGUUCGUCUUACCGCGGCUGCUGGCAC
rnacentral:rRNA from 1 species